UGCAAGUCGAACGGUAACAGGGGUAGCAAUAUCUGCUGACGAGUGGCGCACGGGUGAGUAACGCGUACACAACCUGCCUUAUACUGGAGCAUAGCCUCGGGAAACUGAGAUUAAUUCUCCAUAACAUUGCGAAACGGCAUCGUUUUGCAAUUAAAAUUCCGAUGGUAUAAGAUGGGUGUGCGUCUGAUUAGCUAGUUGGCGGGGUAACGGCCCACCAAGGCAACGAUCAGUAGCUGGUCUGAGAGGAUGAUCAGCCACACGGGCACUGAGACACGGGCCCGACUCCUACGGGAGGCAGCAGUAGGGAAUAUUGGACAAUGGGCGCAAGCCUGAUCCAGCCAUCCCGCGUGAAGGAUUAAGGUCCUAUGGAUUGUAAACUUCUUUUCUCUGGGAAUAAAAAGUGGGGUUUACCCUGCCUUGAAGGUACCAGAGGAAUAAGCACCGGCUAACUCCGUGCCAGCAGCCGCGGUAAUACGGAGGGUGCAAGCGUUAUCCGGAUUCACUGGGUUUAAAGGGUGCGUAGGUGGCUUUGUAAGUCAGUGGUGAAAGCCCGGAGCUUAACUCCGGAACUGCCAUUGAUACUGCUUAGCUUGAAUCAGGUCGAGGUGGAUGGAAUAAUACAUGUAGCGGUGAAAUGCUUAGAUAUGUAUUAGAACACCGAUUGCGAAGGCAGUUCACCAGGCCUGUAUUGACACUGAGGCACGAAAGCGUGGGGAUCAAACAGGAUUAGAUACCCUGGUAGUCCACGCCCUAAACGAUGUAAACUCGACAUUAGCGAUAUACAGUUAGUGUCCAAGCGA
rnacentral:rRNA from 1 species